AGGGGCGUGGCUUAGCAGCUGGGUGGGGCUCUCUUGUGACGUCACUACAUACAUACAUACACCUAGGUGGUACAGAAGAAAUAAGGAAGCAGUCCCUUCAGUGCUGGUCUGGUCCCCAUUUUAGGUUAAAGACGGCUUUUCAGACAGACCCAUGAGAACACACAUCCCCAAGAAAUCCAGGACUUAGCUUGCUACUUAGAUCUUGGUGGAGAGUUUCCAACUUCUACCUCCAUAGAGGCUGUUCUGCUCAAGGUGAGUUGAGAUCGCAGUGGGGAAAGCAAAUGAAUUUCAGAGCUGGUGAAGAAGAAACAGAAAGGUCCCAGGUUCAAUUGUACUCCUGCCAUCCUACCGAGAACCAUGAGGCACAGAGAGCCAUUUGUGGAGAAGCACAUCACAGGCUAGGCAAGGUUUGGUCUGGGGGUCUGAGGGUUGGCUCUUAUAUCAUACCCCCUGGGCUGGACAGAGUAAGGUUGUACAUCAAUCCCUUUUGAGCUCUUUCUGCCCCAGUGGAAAUGAGCCAGCCAAAGGCAGCUUAGAGACCAGUGAACUCACCCCUGACCCUUAGCAGGUUCAGAGAAAAACACCCAUCCCAUUAAGAACCAUCUGUUAGCUCCGUGUGCUCACUGUCUCUUUACUUUGGCUUCUGCUGUCUAAUUUUGGUGUGGAAACAGAAUGGACUUUUGCCUGAGCUGCUUCAAGUAAAGCCACAGAGGAAGAGCCUGGUAGAUCUGUUCCUUCCACACCUUGGCUUGUCCUUUGGGAUUCAGCUUUUGUGCCUUUUAUUUCUGGGAGAUAGAAGGAAAUAGCUUCUGAUAGUUAUUGGAGAAGGGUGAGGGCAAGAGGGGGGGAGAAAGAGAUUAAUUUCCACAGGUGGGUGGAUGGCAUGGUAGUCCUUAAUUACACUGUAGUUCAGGGGUUUAAGGCCUUUUCUCUCACUGGCUCUGUUCUUAGAAAGGACAAGUUCAGAGUCUUACUGUUGUGACAGGCAUAUCCCCAGUUGGAUCCUCUCUGACCUCUGAACUCUACUGAUUUUCAUUAGGACUCCAACAGGCAUCUUCACAGGGAUGGAUCUACCCAGCAAGUUAGGACUUGGAGUUUAUUAAGAGGGAGAAUAGAAAAGUUUCAGACAGUCCUUACACAUGGGUGGUGACUAAGUUUGAGAUCCUCUCUGAAAUCUAAGUUUUUCCAGAUGUUGACUUCAGCUGGGGAGAGGGGACCUUCUAUUCUGCUCACGUGUACGUCCUGUCUGUGUACUGCUGCUGCUGUUUUUGUUCAAACAUGUCAUGGCCAUUGGGGGAGAGGCUAGGGAAGGUGAAAACAGGUCAGGGUCAGAGCCUUCUGAGCCCAGAACAUAUCCAAUAUCUUAGGUAGACAAUCUAGAGAGACCGGAGACCCAGAACAAAUUGUGGUUUUCUGAGAGGAGGGGCUUUCACUCCGUUCACUUCAAUCGCGAAAUGCUGGAAAUAUUUUGGAACAUGGGUUUUACAGAUAUUGUGUCCCACCCUCCCCUUCUUUUUUCCUGCCUGGCUCCCCUUCCAUCUUUUCUACAGAAUUCCCUCUGUCUUUCCACAAACAUCUAGUAACAUAGACAUUGAACAGUUAAAAGGUAGGGGCUCAAUAUCUAUGGGAGACCUUUUGUAAAUCCUUGUCCUGCUUAUUUUAGGGUCUUCUUUGUCUAAAGAAAUGUACCUAAACAGUGGAAGGGACAAGGCUGUCUGACUCUUGCUGCUCUCAAGGCUAAAAACUGCCCAUGGCUCCACAAUGUUUCUUACUUGGCUUAAAAACAUGUCCAGCCUUGACUCUACACUCUGCCUUUUCUCUCACAUGUAUGUUGGAACAUAGUAGAAGAAACAUGAAAGGAAAGAGCUGGGAAAAGUGGUCUUUCUGGUAGAGGCAGGCAAUAAAUCUGUUGGUCCUCCAGGGGAAUAAAUAUCUGAUUUAUUUGGACUUCACUUUGCUUUCCCAGAAGCCAUCACUAAUAAUAACCUGCAUGGUAUGGUUAUACACAAAGCAAAGCCAAAUUUCAUGCUUCAGAAGGUCCCAGAUAACAUUGACCACUUUCCUGCCCCCACUAACCUUAGUCUGCAUCUAAAGAAUAUACCAGUUGUCAGAAUUCCUUGGCAAUCUUUAGAUUGAGGCAAAAUUCAGGCCACAUAUUAGGCUGUCAGAAAGGCAUGUUUUAAAUUUCAUAUGUGUGUUACAUUACCUACACAUGUGACUGAGGAAUGAAUGUUUUAAUCCAUUUAUCUACUGGAGCAGGGACAUUUGAGUUGGGGGGGGUUUCUAGAGAACAUAGCGAAUAGACCCAGGAUGAAGUUAACUUAGGCAAAGUCACAAAUUAUAAGCAAAGUCAGACACUAUGCCUAGAAUUGCUCAUCCCCGUUCAGGCUUCCUGCCGCGGGCCACGAUGCACAGUUGAACUUUCUUUUCUUUGUUCUUUCUCCUCAUACCCCAUGGAUUUCCCUACUUCUUUAUUCUCUUUAUGUUCCAAGAACAAUGUGCUGGGUUUCUUGCCUUCUAGAAUUCAUUCCACCACCCAAGGGACAUCAUUUACUAUGAGAAUUACCCCCACCCCCAAAUAUUUGCCACUAAGAAGGGAAAAGAUUCAGAGGUUCCCCCAUGUUGAGACAAAUACCUUCAUAAUUGAUAUAAAGCACUGUGACCCCCAGGCUGGUGCUGGGGCAUCAGGCAGAGGAGGUAACAAGUGGUUACACAACGCUUAACAGCAAGGAUAUAUUCUAAGAAGCAUCCUUAAGGGACCAAAAAAUAUCUUUAUCACCAUUACUACUGUAUUUUUUUUUAAAAAAAUCAUUAUAAAACAUUCUGACCAGGCUUGGCUCAAGGGAUGUCAGAGCUCAGUUUUGUUCUGAGGGACACAAGAGUAUCUGUUUGCUUGUGGCUACAGAACGAUGGAACUGACACUGUCACUACCCAUGUUCUGGUAGAAUUGUCAUAUGUGACAAUCUCAGAACGAUAUGAAAAAGAACAGAGUAACUUUCCUGUCCUUUAUGGUUGGAGGAUUCAGCAGUAAGCAGAGGCGUGGAGUGCUUACAUUUUACCCAUGCCCCUCAUGUCCCCGUGUUGGGAAAGCACAUGUAACUUGCCUAGAAAAAGUUUAGGUUUUGAGGUAAGGACCAGAACCAUACCCAGUUGUAUUGGAAUGCUGCAGUAGCUAGACUUUAUUGUCAAGAAGCUCUGGACACAGAGCAGCCUUAUUCUCAUCAGAGUAUGGAAAUGUGAAGGGUAAUGGUACAAGAUGGCCUGGGUUCUGUUGGGGACUUUGUCGCAAGCAGAAAUGUGUUUCCUCCAGAGUGCACUCUUCCACAAUGGUAUAGGGACAUUUCCUUCAUGCUGUAAUGAAGCAAAGAAGAAGAAAAAACACUGAGCUUAAAACAGUUUCCUGAUUAAAGUAGGAGAAUCUAAAAACCUCUUCAGGUGACAUGCAGGUGCUCUUGGCCUGUCUUAGUUGUCACUCUCUGUACCAUCUGCUCCAGGAAGUGUCUGCCUCUCAAAGCCAAUUGUAUUUAUUCAUGGUAUAAGACAAGUCCACUGGCUUUUUGUUUAAAAAAAAUAUCCAGUGACACCAGCAGCAUGAACCUAGGGUUCCUCUGAGUCCUGGGCUCUUUGUGAUGCAUACAGCCCUUGCCUCCGGCACCUGCCCAUCUCCUUGCUCAGCCCAGGCACUUUGUAGACAUGUAUGCAUGUAGUGUACACAUCACUCUCUCUCUUUCUUCCUGCCCCUUGCACUUCUUCCCCCCUUUCUGCUCUUCCGGGGGUUAAAACCCAAGGUUGCCAAGAAUGAAUGACAAGAGAAGUGUGGAGCUCCUGCCUUUGUCUUCCUUUGUAAAGAAAUUCUAGACAACGCUUUCAAGCCACCCAAGCAAGCUUUCGUGCUGACUUUCGGCCAUUGUGACAGUGCCUCUUCAGUCACCAGGCCCUCUCUGGGAGAGUCCGUGUCACAGUCACUUAUAAAGGGAGGAUGGCUGGGCUGCUUUGGACUGAUGGACUUGGGGUGAGGGAAAGGGAUGUCGGGAAGAGCAGCCAUUGAACAUUAUUUCAACUGGAACCUCACUGCUGACCAGAGUUUGGGACCUCGAGAAGAUGGCAAAAGUCUGUACAUGUUGGUGUCCAAAAUGUUACAUGAAGGGUUUCCCAAAGAGAUACAAAGCAAAGAAAUCAUGCCAGAAAAGGAAGAAAAGUGAGGUACACAUUCUUUGGCUGAAGAAGCUGCUUGAUACCAUGAAGUACCAAGUUACAUUUGUUCCCGUUGAUUCAAAGAACACUGGUUCCCGCUGCAAGCCCAAGACCACCAUAAUCAUCAUUGAGCUUGCUACUCCACCCCAGGGUCUCUAAAUAAAACCUCCUCUUUCUUGGAAAAAA